UACAGAGGGGGCAAGCGUUGUCCGGAUUUAUUGGGCGUAAAGAGCGUGUAGGCGGCCAGACAGGUCCGUUGUGAAAACUCGAGGCUUAACCUCGAGAUGUCAUCGGAAACCAUUUGGCUAGAGUCCGGAAGAGGAAAGUGGAAUUCCUGGUGUAGCGGUGAAAUGCGCAGAUAUCAGGAAGAACACCAAUGGCGAAAGCAGCUUUCUGGGACGGUACUGACGCUGAGACGCGAAAGCGUGGGGAGCGAACAGG
rnacentral:rRNA from 1 species